rnacentral:rRNA from 1 species
GAUGAACGCUGGCGGCGUGCCUAAUACAUGCAAGUCGAGCGAACGGACGAGAAGCUUGCUUCUCUGAUGUUAGCGGCGGACGGGUGAGUAACACGUGGAUAACCUACCUAUAAGACUGGGAUAGCUUCGGGAAACCGGAGCUAAUACCGGAUAAUAUUUUGAACCGCAUGGUUCAAAAGUGAAAGACGGUCUUGCUGUCACUUAUAGAUGGAUCCGCGCUGCAUUAGCUAGUUGGUAAGGUAACGGCUUACCAAGGCAACGAUGCAUAGCCGACCUGAGAGGGUGAUCGGCCACACUGGAACUGAGACACGGUCCAGACUCCUACGGGAGGCAGCAGUAGGGAAUCUUCCGCAAUGGGCGAAAGCCUGACGGAGCAACGCCGCAUGAGUGAUGAAGGUCUUCGGAUCGUAAAACUCUGUUAUUAGGGAAGAACAUAUGUGUAAGUAACUGUGCACAUCUUGACGGUACCUAAUCAGAAAGCCACGGCUAACUACGUG